UCAGCUGUUCUCACUACUUCCAUGGGAUUUGAUUUGGUGUUCUCAAAAAUAAAGAAGUUUCUUAAUUUUCACACACUCCAACAAAGAUUAUCCAAUAAUUGUUAAUCCCUUUCCUUCUUCUGUUGCUAUUUCAGGGUGUUGAGCUGAGUUUGGAUUUAGCUCAGAGGGCACAUAAAAAAAUUGAUUUUAAUUCCAACUCAGAUCAUCUCUAAAGAGAUUUUUAACUCUGUACACAAUCGGACCUGAAGGUAAAUUAAAAAGACCAGCAUUAAUUCCGAAAGGGUAAGGUGGCGGCAACCAGGGAUCUUUGAAGACACGGAUUGAAGCACCAUUUCCAAUUUUCCAAACCAACCCCUUCUCCAGAACACGACGUCCCUCUAGCAGACUCCCC